UGUAUUUCACCACCGCAGAUGUCUCCUUUUUUUACUCUAUUGUUUAUUUUGAUAAUUGAAUGGAGCCUCCCACAGUGGAUGAUGAUUCCUUGAUAUACGUUAUUAUGGAAUCACCAUCCACUUCGGACUCUCCAGUUAUUCCUCCACCAAUCUAGUAUGUUUAUAGCGGACAUUCCCAUCAGCAUGUGAAGCCCCUCCAAAUGUACCUCAGCCUAUUUCGUCUUCUGAGCCCGUGAUAAAUCAAUCACAUACUGACCUUGAUAUCCCUAUUGCACAUCGCAAAGGAAUUCAUAGUUGUACCCAACACCCUAUUGUAUAGUUUGUCUCAUAUUCUGGUUUAUAUGCCUUGUCGAACAAGUCUGAU